rnacentral:rRNA from 1 species
UACGCAGGGGGCUAGCGUUGUUCGGAUUUACUGGGCGUAAAGCGCACGUAGGCGGAUUUUUAAGUCAGGGGUGAAAUCCCAAGGCUCAACCUUGGAACUGCCUUUGAUACUGGAAGUCUCGAGUCCGGGAGAGGUGAGUGGAACUGCGAGUGCAGAGGUGAAAUUCGUAGAUAUUCGCAAGAACACCAGUGGCGACGGCGGCUCACUGGCCCGGAACUGACGCUGAGGUGCGAAAGCGUGGGGAGCAAACAGG